UGCCUAUGAUAAUUACAUAAAUAGGAACAAUAAAUAAAUGACUGACAUAAAGAUCCUGUUACAAAUGGCGUAAAAUGAUCUGAAACUAUUGUCACAGUGCACAGAUAGACUAAAUAGUAACAGCUUUUAAAAUUCCACCGCAUCUCAUUUUAAAUCCUGUAUAAAAUAUUACUUGAUUUUGAUUAGUACUUCUAAAAAUGUUGGUAUUUAAAUUUCUAAACUUCUUUGUGAGUUUGUCCUAGAUUUGAAACCCCCAUAAUUCCACAUGGAUUCUCCUGCUAGCACUGAGGCUGAACUGCUUGUCUCUGAUGAAAGAAAUUGGUCUCUCUUCCCUUUCACCCUGGGAAACUAUAGGUCCUUACCAUGGGCGUGCGCACGGGGUGGGCCCGGGCACACACCCUCAUGCCCAUGGGCCGGAUCCGGAUCUGGCCCCUCGGGGCUUUGCAUCCGGCCCGCGGGAUUUGCCCCCCGUGGUGCCGCAGGCCCCGCGCUGCUUUCCGAAGCAGCCAUCAGGGCAGCAGGUCUCUGGGGCUAAGGGGUUGCUCUAGGCACCGCCUCCCGAAGCUCCCAUUGGCCGGGAACGGGGAACUGCGGCCAAUGGGAGCUUCAGGGGAGGUACCUGGAGGCGUGGCAAGGGCAGCGUGCAGAGCCCUGUGCUGCCCCGCCCCUCCCCCGGGGCUGCGGGGAGCGGCCCGGCAUGGGGCCCUGGCAGGCGGGGAGCGCGCCGCUGCGGGAAACUUCUCAAGCUCCGCUAUAUGAUGAGGACAGAGUGAAUGUAUCGCAUAACACGUCAAGCGUUCUGGAGUGUUAGAAGUCACUGUGGGAAGAAUCGGCAGAGAGGAGGGAUUCCACUGCAUCCUUCUGUUUUAACCUCAAUAGUUGCAGCAGCCGGAGCUGAAAGGAAAUAGGGAAUGGUUGAAAUACAAAGGGAAAAAAUAUAAUUUUCAUUGAAUUGAUCUCAAUAAAUUAAAUGAAAAUA